GGUUGAUCCUGCCAGUAGUCAUAUGCUUGUCUCAAAGACUAAGCCAUGCAUGUGUAAGUAUGAACCGCUCAUACGGUGAAACUGCGAAUGGCUCAUUAAAUCAGUUAUAGUUUAUUUGAUGGUACUACUCCUAUUCGGAUAACCGUAGGAAAACUAGAGCUAAUACGUGCGCACAUCCCGACUUCUGGAAGGGACGUAUUUAUUAGAUAGAAGACCGACCGGGUUCUCCCGAGCUGCGGUGAAUCAUGAUAACUUCACGAAUCGCAUGGCCUCGUGCCGGCGAUGUUUCAUU
rnacentral:rRNA from 1 species